rnacentral:rRNA from 1 species
UACAGAGGUCUCAAGCGUUGUUCGGAAUUACUGGGCGUAAAGGGUGCGCAGGCCGCGCGGGCAGUCAAAUGUGUAAUUCAGGGGCUCAACCCCUGCACUGCGCUUGAUACUUCCGCGCUCGAGCUUUGGAGAGGAGUCUGGAAUUCUCGGUGUAGCAGUGAAAUGCGUGGAUAUCGAAGAAGAACACUUAGGGCGAAGGCAAGACUCUGGACAAAAUGCUGACGCUCAUGCACGAAGGCUAGGGUAG